rnacentral:rRNA from 1 species
GCGAAAUCACCCUAUAAAUCUUUAUAUUUAGAUUAUUAUAAUUUUAUAGAUUUUUUUUGUUGUAAUAAUCAAUGAUAUUUUAUUGGGGUGAUAUUAAAAUUUAAUAAACUUUUAAUUGUUAAAAUCAUUAAUUUAUGAAUAAUUGAUCCGUUAUUAGCGAUUAAAAAAAUAAGUUACUUUAGGGAUAACAGCGUAAUUUUUUUGGAGAGUUCAUAUCGAAAAAAAGAUUGCGACCUCGAUGUUGGAUUAA